GAUGAACGCUAGCUACAGGCUUAACACAUGCCAGUCGAGGGGAAACGCCAUCGAAAGCUUGCUUUUGAUGUGCGUCGACCGGCGCACGGGUGAGUAACGCGUAUCCAACCUGCCCAUCACUUGGGAAUAACCUUGCGAAAGUAAGACUAAUACCCAAUGAUAUCCCACGAAGUCAUCGGAAUGGGAUUAAAGAUUUAUCGGUGAUGGAUGGGGAUGCGUCUGAUUAGCUUGUUGGCGGGGUAACGGCACACCAAGGCAACGAUCAGUAGGGGUUCUGAGAGGAAGGUCCACCACAUUGGAACUGAGACACGGUCCAAAAUCCUACGGGAGGCAGCAGUGAGGAACAUUGGGCACGGGGCGAGAGCCUGAACCAGCCAAGUAGCGUGCAGGAAGACGGCCCUAUGGGUUGUAAACUGCUUUUAUAAGGGAAUAAAGUGGGUCACGUGUGACUUUUUGCAUGUACCUUAUGAAUAAGGACCGGCUAAUUCCGUG
rnacentral:rRNA from 1 species